GCCAGGUGUGGUGGCUCACGCCUGUAAUCCUAGCACCUUGGGAGGCUGAGGUGGGCGGAUCACCUGAGGUCAGGAGUUCGAGACCAGCCUGGCCAACAUGGUGAAACCCCGUCUCUA
ensembl:misc_RNA Metazoa_SRP Metazoan signal recognition particle RNA